CAAAAGCGUAUAUUAAAGUUGUUGCAGUUAAAAAGCUCGUAGUUGAACCUUGGGCUUGGCUGGCCGGUCCAUCUUUUUUGAUGCGUACUGGAUCCAGCCGAGCCUUUCCUUCUGGCUAGCCUUUUGGCGAACCAGGACUUUUACUUUGAAAAAAUUAGAGUGUUCAAAGCAGGCCUUUGCUCGAAUAUAUUAGCAUGGAAUAAUAGAAUAGGACGUUAUGGUUCUAUUUUGUUGGUUUCUAGGACCAUCGUAAUGAUUAAUAGGGACGGUCGGGGGUAUCAGUAUUCAGUUGUCAGAGGUGAAAUUCUUGGAUUUACUGAAGACUAACUACUGCGAAAGCAUUUACCAAGGACGUUUUCAUUAA
rnacentral:rRNA from 1 species